GGUUCAUCUCUAACAAGUAUUUAGUGAAACGACAGAGCAGAGACUAUGAUGUGGAAUGGGGCUAUGCUUUUGAUGUGCAUCUCAAUGCUUUUUAUCCACUCCUGGUCAUUUUGCAUUUUAUCCAGCUUUUUUUCAUCAACCCAUUGCCAUUUUUGAAAAAUACAGUAAUUCUUCUGUAUCCAUUUGCACCUCUGAUUCUGCUCUACGGGCUUUCCCUGGCACUGGGAUGGAACUUCACCCAUACUCUCUGUUCUUUCUAUAAGUACAGAGUGAAAUAAAAAGUGAGAAGAAGAUUCAAUCGUAACUGUGUCAACAGUAUUGUGAAGUGAUCAUUUCUUGUAAAACUUGUAAAUAAACUAUCAUCUUUGUAGAUAUCUUAAAGGUGUAAAGUUUGCAAAUUUGAAGAAAUAUAUAUUAACACUGUGGUCAGGUACAUUCCUUAAAACUAAUUAAAUGUACAUUUCUAUAAUAAAUAUUUUUUAAACUAAA
rnacentral:lncRNA from 1 species